rnacentral:rRNA from 1 species
GUGGGGAAUCUUGCGCAAUGGGCGAAAGCCUGACGCAGCCAUGCCGCGUGAAUGAUGAAGGUCUUAGGAUUGUAAAAUUCUUUCACCGGGGACGAUAAUGACCGUACCUGAAGAAGAAGCCCCGGCUAACUUCGUGCCAGCAGCCGCGGUAAUACGAAGGGGGCUAGCGUUGUUCGGAAUUACUGGGCGUAAAGCGCACGUAGGCGGACUUUUAAGUCAGGUGUGAAAUCCCGGGGCUCAACCUCGGAACUGCAUUUGAAACUGGAAGUCUUGAGAUCAGGAGAGGUUAGCGGAAUACCGAGUGUAGAGGUGAAAUUCGUAGAUAUUCGGUGGAACACCAGUGGCGAAGGCGGCUAACUGGACUGAUACUGACGCUGAGGUGCGAAAGUGUGGGGAGCAAACAGGAUUAGAAACCCUAGUAGUCC